rnacentral:rRNA from 1 species
GAUGAACGCUGGCGGCGUGCCUAAUACAUGCAAGUCGAGCGAACGGACGAGGAGCUUGCUCCUUUGACGUUAGCGGCGGACGGGUGAGUAACACGUAGGUAACCUACCUAUAAGACUGGGAUAACUUCGGGAAACCGGAGCUAAUACCGGAUAAUAUUUCGAACCGCAUGGUUCGAUAGUGAAAGAUGGCUUUGCUAUCACUUAUAGAUGGACCUGCGCCGUAUUAGCUAGUUGGUAAGGUAACGGCUUACCAAGGCAACGAUACGUAGCCGACCUGAGAGGGUGAUCGGCCACACUGGAACUGAGACACGGUCCAGACUCCUACGGGAGGCAGCAGUAGGGAAUCUUCCGCAAUGGGCGAAAGCCUGACGGAGCAACGCCGCGUGAGUGAUGAAGGUCUUCGGAUCGUAAAACUCUGUUAUUAGGGAAGAACAAACGUGUAAGUAACUGUGCACGUCUUGACGGUACCUAAUCAGAAAGCCACGGCUAACUACGU